ACGGGGCGCAGCAGUCGCGAAAACUUCACACUGGGGGCAACCCCGAAGAGGGUAAUUCCUGGUGCUAGGACAUUUGUUCUAGCGACGCCCUCUUUUAGAUAACGUAGAGGAAUAAGGACAGGGUCAGACGGGUGCCAGCCGCCACGGUAAUACACGCAG
rnacentral:rRNA from 1 species